UUGAAGGUUUGCAGCGAAUCAAUGCCGCGGUUGAUUUCCCAUUUAUGUCAAAGCCCAUUCA
rfam:Drosophila mojavensis strain TSC#15081-1352.22 Ctg01_11094, whole genome shotgun sequence.